rnacentral:siRNA from 1 species
AUCAUCCCUCUGUGCUGCCGCUAA